rnacentral:rRNA from 1 species
UACGUAGGAUGCAAGCGUUAUCCGGAAUGAUUGGGCGUAAAGCGUCCGCAGGUGGCUAUGUAAGUCUGCUGUCAAAGCGUCUGGCUCAACCAGAUAAAGGCAGUGGAAACUACAUAGCUAGAGUAAGGUAGGGGUAGAGGGAAUUCCUGGUGUAGCGGUGAAAUGCGUAGAGAUCAGGAAGAACACCGGUGGCGAAAGCGCUCUGCUGGACCUUAACUGACACUGAGGGACGAAAGCUAGGGGAGCGAAAGGG